GUGGAGAUUAGGUAACGAUAGAUUGAGAGAGAGGCAUAGAGAGAGAGAGAGAGAAUAAACGAUAUGGAGAGAGAUAGAGACAGAAUGAUUUUCCCAUGCGUCUUUUUUUCAUCUCUCCCUCUCCCUCUUUCUCUCACUGUGUCUCCCUCUCUCUCCAUAUCUCUCUUUCCUCCUUAGGUCUGUCUCUUUCUCUAUUCCUCUCUCUCUCUUUCUCUCUCUCUCUCU
rnacentral:misc_RNA from 1 species